GGGGAUGUAGCUUAGUGUAGAGCACUUGCCUAGUGUGCUUGAGGCCAGCGGUUCAAUUCCCAGUAUACCCA
rnacentral:tRNA from 1 species